rnacentral:rRNA from 1 species
GACGAACGCUGGCGGCGUGCUUAACACAUGCAAGUCGAACGAAGUGGCGAACGGGUGAGUAACGCGUAAUCAACCUGCCCUUCAGAGGGGGACAACAGUUGGAAACGACUGCUAAUACCGCAUACUGAAGGAGGGGAUUGCGUCUGGUUAGCUGGUUGGAGGGGUAACGGCCCACCAAGGCGAUGAUCAGUAGCCGGUCUGAGGGGAGUAACGGGCACCAUGGGACCGCGACACGGCCCAAACUCCGACGGGAGGCAGCAGUGGGGAAUCGUCCGAAAUUGACGGAAGUCUGACGGAGCAACGCCGCGUGAGUGAUGACGGCCUUCGGGUUGUAAAGCUCUGUUAAUCGGGACGCGGUACCGGAAUAGAAAGCCACGGCUAACUACGUGCCAGCAGCCGCGGUAAUUC